rnacentral:rRNA from 1 species
GGGCCCGCACAAGCGGUGGAGUAUGUGGUUUAAUUCGAUGCAACGCGAAGAACCUUACCAGGGUUUGACAUCCUGCGAAUCUCUUGGAAACAGGAGAGUGCCUUCGGGAACGCAGUGACAGGUGGUGCAUGGCUGUCGUCAGCUCGUGUCGUGAGAUGUUGGGUUAAGUCCCGCAACGAGCGCAACCCACGUCUUUAGUUGCCAGCAUUUAGUUGGGCACUCUAGAGAGACUGCCGGUGAUAAACCGGAGAAGGUGAGGACGACGUCAAGUCAUCAUGGCCCUUACGAGUAGGGCUACACACGUGCUACAAUGGGGAAUACAGACGGACGCUAAGCCGCAAGGUGGUGCUAAUCCUAGAAAGUUUCUCGU